rnacentral:rRNA from 1 species
CGUGUAGGCGGUUUGGUCAAGUCUGGUGUGAAAGCCCGGGGCUUAACCCCGGAAGUGCACUGGAAACUAGCCAGCUAGAGCGCGAGAGAGGAGGGUGGAAUUCCUGGUGUAGCGGUGAAAUGCGUAGAUAUCAGGAGGAACACCGGCGGCGAAGGCGGCCCUCUGGCUCGUUGCUGACGCUGAAACGCGAAAGCGUGGGGAGCAAACAGGAUUAGAUACCCUGGUAGUCCACGCUGUAAACGAUGGGUACUAGGUGUUCGGGGUAUUGACCCCCCUGAGUGCCGACGCUAACGCAUUAAGUACCCCGCCUGGGGACUACGGCCGCAAGGUUAAA